rnacentral:lncRNA from 1 species
CUUCAGCCUGGGUGACAUUCAGCCUGGGUGACAGGGCAAGACUCUGUCUCAAAAAAAAAAAAAAAAAAAGUAUAGAAGAAUAGAGGCGCAAAAGCUGCUAACCUCCAGAUUUCUUCCCUGACACCCCAAAGUCUUCUACAACAAGUGGAGGAAGUGCAUCCCAAACUCCCGGCACUCGCAAAUGCUGAGAGCCAGAUUCAUUUAGGAUCCAUUUGUUCUGAGAGCAUGUAUAAAAAUUAUCUUACACUGGAAGGAUGGAUGCAAAAUCUGCACUGUGAUGAAUGCAGGAGUGAAGAGGCUAAAGACAGAAGGGCAAUCUCAAGAUAUCAAUGGGAACUCACAGCCUAGAAGAAAGGUUUUACAAGAGAAACUCUGAUGUCCAAAGAACUGUGAGAACCAGAAAUGAGCAUGAUCAAUUUAAAUCUGUAGUUCUCAAUUCUCCUGUUUAAUAUGUAUUUCAGCAUGCCUCUUAUGGCAUUUUACACUUGAGUAAUUUCAUUAGAUGGAUACUCUGGUGCCUUUGCCAUUAAACCAUGUUUUGUUGUAAGAUUACGGAGCUAUUGAAAUACUAAAGUUAAGUCUCAAUAAAACAAUAAUAAUAAUACUUUAACUGCCUAUAAGAUCUUUUUUUACUAUAUUGACAUUCAUACUGAAUUACAACACAAUUUUGCCUUCUACAUUUUUAGGAUCUUUAAUAUGCUUUUAACUUUUAUGACUAUGAAUUGGUUUUGAUGGUACAUGUAAACUGUAAAUAUAAUCACUGCAGAUGACAUAUCUUACUUAUGAACCAAAUGAUCUCAAUGUGCAAAACUAUAGCCCAAGAGAGUCAGAGUUAAAAAGCCUUUGAAAACUGCCUCAAUGUCUUCCAGCCAGUGAACUUUCAUAUCAGUGUCACUGUUCAUAUUAUCUUGUCAGAUGGGGGUCUUUUUUUAUACAAGAAUUGUUAGGCAAUGCCUGGUGGAAAUAUCAGUGUGGUAAGAUCUCAGGUGGCUGUGUGGUUACCUAGACUCUCUGGGGCAAUCAGUCCUUUGGAUAAUAUUUCUGAAAAUUGAUUCAUGGACUCUUAGAACUGGAAGGGCUCUUAGAAAUCAUGA